UUUUCAAAUAAAAUAUAAGGUGUAAGUAAUAAACAAUAUACCUUGAGUAUUUUUUUGUUACCAAGAAUAACAUAACUUGUGAAAUCUCUAUCAAUUGUGCUUGCAGCAACUGUGAGCGUCCAAGGUUCCAAGUUGGAUACAGUACUAGGAACAGGUCCUGAAUUACCUCCAGAAGCCACAACAAUGAUGUUGUUGGCAACUGCAUGAAAAGAUCCUAUGGAAAUACUGUUUUGGGAAUAUUCUUGGGCUAAACCACCACUACCCAAAGACACCGAAAGCACAUCAACACCAUCACUUAUGGCAGCUUCAAAACCAGCCAAAAUGUCUGCAUCAUAACAUCCAUCCCAACAAACCUUAUAGGCUGCAACUCGUGCUUUUGGUGAUCCACCACUUGCUGUUCCAUUUCCAUUGCCAAAUACACUUGCAUUAGCAACGAAAUUUCCUCCAGCAGUUGAUAAAGUGUGUGAACCAUGACCUUCACUAUCCCGUGCACUAUGAAGCGAUACAUUUUUGGCUCUAUAAGGAUUUGCCAGAAAGCCUUUAAAAAAAUAUCUUGCUCCAAUAAGCUUUCUACAAAAUUGUAAUAAAAUUCAAAAUAGGAGCAUAUAGAAAUAUAUCAAAGACAAUUAAAUUGGUUUUAUUAUGUAUUAUAAUCCAAAUCAUGGUUAUAUACUAAGCUCAAUUUAAACUUGUAUAUCUUCUGAAGCUUAAACGUUUACCAUCAUAAUUUGUAAAGAUUAGUUUUUAAAAAACCAUAGCAAAUUCUAAAUGAUUUAAUGUCGUUACAAGGAAAGACCUGUUGCAGUGAAAGUUAUCUGGAUUUCCUUUAGUAACUUGACAGAUUCCACGCCACUUUUUUGGGAUCAGUCCAAAUCCUUCGUCACUAAAACUCUUGGAUUCUGGCCAAACACCUGUUAAAAGUCAAAACAUCAAUAAAAAGAGGGUUACUAAACAUUGGUUUUAAAAAUUAAGAAAACAAAUAUACUAUAUAAUUAAGCAAUCAAUCAUAUUUCAACCGAAGAUAAUUUUAGAUUUCAACUCAAGAUAUUUUUAGAGGUUAAUAAUAGAAAAAAAAAAACAAAGAUAUUAAGCAUUCAAUCAUAUUUGUAAAAUUUAAAAAAAAAAAACUGAAGAUAUUUGUAGAGGUUAAUUAUGAAAUAUAUUUUUUUUAAAUAAUUAACCAAAACGGUAUAGUUUAAUUUGUAUACAUCAAUGUAAAGUUUUUUUUUUACGUCAUAUCUCAAGUCAAAUAACUCUAUGAUGUCAUGUUUAUAUUUUUUUUAGAGGAUUUCACGUUUAUAUAUUAGUUCCUAGAAUAUCUCUACACAUAUUCUUUUAGAAUAAUUUGAAUGGUUGCAUAUGCAAUUUUUUUUUACAGCAUUUGUGUAUAAAAACUAAUCUUUUAAAUUAAAGUAUAUGAAAAAUAUUAAAAUAACUAUAAUUAUAGACCAAAAAAAUCAAGUUAAAGUUGGCUGCCUAAAAUUCAUAAUUUAUGUGUUGAUUCAUGUUGUUUAAUUUGGUCAUGAAAUCAAAAUCAUGAUCGUCUAAUGCAUUAAGUGCAAUUGAUAAUUGAUAGGGUUUGAUAUACUAGACAAACAAAUUAACUUCAUUCAUCUAUUAUUACCGGUGUCUAAAUUUCCGAUAAUAAUGUCUUUGCCAAGUGAUUUCUUCCACAAUGAAUCCUUUGAAAAUUCACCACCUCUCUCUAAACCAAGGAAACCCCAUGACCGAGUUGUGUGUAGUUCAUAUUUUUUGUUUAAGAAAACUGAUACUACAUUUGGAUGCUCUGCAUUUACCAAAAAUAUAGCACCAAUUAGAAAAAUUAAAUAACAGUGUAUACAAAUAUUCACACACACACACACACACACAUAUAUAUAUAUAUAUAAGAAUUAAAUCAAAACUACAUACUUGAAAGCUGAGCUGCUUCUUCUUCAUCAAGUAUUGCAGCAAAUCCAUUAAUAUAUCUAUUAUAAGAGUAAAAUAUUGCUUCUUUGGCCUUCUCGGUGCUGUGUAGUAAAAUUAAAAAAAAAAAUAUUAAAUAUCAUCAUUUCAUGAUUCAAUUAACCGCAUAAUUUUAUGGAUUUUGGAGAUUGAAUUUUAUACCUUCCAACGUAAGAUGCAAGAAUAUCAUAGUGGGAGUUCGUUGCAAGUUCAAAAUCAAAUGAUGAAGGAUUUGGACCGAAAGAAUGUGAUCCUAAGUAUACAAUAUAGGACUAACGAAAAAAAAAACACAUGAUUGAUUAGUAAACCAAAUAUUUAAACAUUAAAAUAUGAAAAUUAGAUUAUGAUGAGCAUGAAAUUUAAUAAUAUCAUAAGUUGUCUACAAUGAGAAUGAGCAACGAAUAAUGAAAACAAGAGACAAUAAGCUUUGCCUGUUUAAUUGCAAGGGUAGGUUCAUGCAGCAAAACAAAAAGAAGAAGUGAUAUUAACACAUGAGAAAUGGAUGAAGACAUUGCUUCUCUCAUGAAUGAUGUUUGUUAUGCAAAAUAAAAUCUCAAGGAUAUACAAAGGGUAUGUGUUUUCCCUCACUUAUAUAACUAAGUUAUGUGAUUGUUUUUUUAUUCAAAUUCCUUUUGUGAGCAGCCAUUAUGAGUUUGUUAUGGAGUCAACUAUUGUGGUUAAGUUCAUUCUUCAUUUCCUUCAACAUUUAUGUUAAAUAAAUAUUUUUUUGUUCAAGGUAAAUAAAUCAAUUUAAUUAAAUUAAUAUCAGAAAUUGCUUUUUUGUUUUUAAGGUAAAAAAUCGGGUACAAUUAUUUUCAAACAACGACGACAAGGCAACAUUGAUAAUAUGUUAAUUAUAUUCUUAAAAUAAAAUCAAAUCGUGUUAUUUAUUGCAACAUGUAUGUGUCUUAUCAGAUUUUAAUUCUUUGAUUCUUUAGAUAAAAUGUAGUAGAAGAAGUGAUAUUAACACAUGACAAAUGGAUGAAGACAUUGCUUCUCUCAUGAAUGAUGUUUGUAAUGGAGUCAACUAUUGUGAUUAAGUUCAUUCUUCAUUUUUUAGGCAUUUAUGUUAAAUAAAUAAAUUUAAUCUACUUAAUAUCAGAAAUUGAUUUUUUUGUUUUUAAGGUAAACAAUCGGGUACACUUAUUUUUGGUCAAGAGGUACAAUUAUUUUCAAACAACGAAACAAGGCAACCGUGUUAUUAUUUUUAAGGUAAACAACGAAACAACAAGACAAUAAAACAUGAGAUUUUAUUUUUUAGGUAAAUAAUCUCAUUUUUAUUUUAUUUGUAUUCUCAAAAAUAAAAUCAAAUCGUGUUAUUUAUUGGAUACCAUGUACGUGUAUUAUCGGAUUUUAAUUAUUUGAUUCUUUAUCUUUCAAAAAAAUUUAAUUUGAUUCUUUAGAUAAAAAGUCGUAGUAAAGAAAUUUUGAUAUUAAACGUUUGAUCUUGACCAAAGUAUAUAUAAAGGUGACAACUAAGGUACCCAUGGAAGAAUGGUGGGUAAUUUACCCCAACCAAUACACAUUAGCCACAUUAGCACAUUUUUAAGUGGUAUCAUGAACUAUCUUGACCCCACCAACAAAUUGCUCAUUUUCAUUGGUUGGUGGGUAAAUUAUCCACCAUUCUUCAAAGGUAAUCUAGAAAAAACCAUAUAUAAAUCAUUUCUGGCUAACCAUUUUUUUUAUAACAAACAAAAAUGAGAUAUAUUACAUAAGGGAAAAAUUCUACUCUCUGACAGAAGAUGUGCAAAGAAGAUCAUAACAAGUAACAACCAAGUAUUCUCAAUAAUUACAAAAAAGACCAUCAACCAAUGCCCAAACUGACAAGAAGUUGCUGCCACCACAAAUGGUAACCAAAAGUAAAACAAAUAUUUUUAGCUUUCAGCCAAUUCAAAGAAGUAACUUUGACAUUUUCCAGAAGCUGCAUAAUAGAUUUAACUUUAUUAGAAAACAAUAUGCGAUUCAUUUCAUUCCAAAGCACAUAAACACCGCAGAGCCAAAUAAGUUGCAAAAACGACCGACGCGGUUUGAAACCUCCCGAAGAGUAAGCAAACUGAAGAAAAUUAUCCAACAUAUGUUGGGGAUCCACUGAUUCAAACAAAUCCAAGUGUUGACAUGUUGCCACAACACACUGAAAACACGACAAUGAAUUAAAAUGUGAUGUGUUGUUUCAUUGUUACCACAUCUGGACACGCACAAUUGAGAAUCAGGAUGUCAUGACGCACCAAAUUAUCCUAUAUAGGCCACCUGUUGUGGAGGAGACACCACACACAAAUUGAAACCUUCAGAUGAACAUAUUUAUGUCAAACUGCAUCAACAACUUCAUCGCGACUAUGCAUCUCCUGCAUUUGAUACACAUCGCAGACCAUAACCAUCAGCCACAUUUGGGCGCCACUGCCAAACAUCUGUGAUAGAAGCAACAUUAGAAAGUAAAGACAUACAAUCCCCCACUAGAUCCUCCUCCCAAACUAACAACCGACGCCGCCACCCCAAGCUUCACCUCCAUCCCUCCAACCUAAGGAAAAUAUUUCCGCCACCGUCUUAUCCUUGUGGCUAACCGUUAAUACUUACGAAUGUAGAUUUAAUUAAUUGUAAUUUUGAUCUCUUAAGUUUUAUUUAAUCGUGAAAUUAAUCUUCCACUUUUAAAAUUUACCGGUAUGAAUCAUUUUCUCAAUUCUUAGAUUAAAAAAUACAAGCUGAUAAUGUGUAAGUAGAAUUGUCAAAUGGUCUCUUGACUAUAAUACUCAAAUGCAUAAAUGGUCCAUAUCAAACAGACUAGUUAGUCGUUUGUCACGAAGAAAGUAAAAAAUACUCUCAUUUUUUGGUUUAUUCAUUUACUAUUUUACUUCAUUGUUUACGCCACUUUGAUAGUAACAAAAAAUACUCUUCCAUGUGUUUAAGAAGAAAUCGAGCAGAGCACAGUGACACACCAUAAUCUAAUCUCAAACGUGAAUAAUCAACCCAAAUAUAAUCUAAAAUUUCAUUUUUCUUUUUCCCAUUUGAAUAGGCAGUAUGAUGCAUUUACAAGAGUAUUUCAACCACAAACAUGUAAGCCGAACGAACAUUUAUAUUGAUAUUGAUUUAAUCAUCAAUUUAUCAAGUUUCAAAGAGCUUGCACAUCUCAAAACUGCCAGGAAAAUAAGAAGGAAACCUCAGUUUUGUAGCUUAAUUACAAUAGAACUCCUGACAUGAUGCUUGCAAUCGGACCAAUCCAAACUCCCAAAUAAAUAAUCAGUACUAUUAUUAGUUAGAGUCUUCAAACUGAAAGUCACUCUAAACUCUUUCUUUUCACCCUUUUCCUUGAAGUUUAGUACCUUAGGCUCUACGGAGACUAAAACUUCAUGAGGUGCUUGAAUGUGAACUUUAUAUGUGCUUGGAGACCCAACGUUGGUGAGAGUACGAGUAACAUUUAGAAAAUCUCUAAUCUUCAAGUUGGGAAUUGAGAUUGAAGGAUAAUUGAAAUCUAAUAAAUUGAAAGAUUUUGGACAAAUAUAUCGCUUGCCGUAGAAUAUAGUAAGGCGAGAACCUUUGUAGCCACGGUUGCACAAAUAGUUCGUAUAGUCGGUGAUAUUUAGGUCAUAAACAAGUCCAGGGUCCACGGCAUGAUUAGGUUGGACUUGCCCCGCACCAUAUGCAAAUGGAUUUGCGUUUAUGCGUGUUGAAUCCAAUAUAGGCUUUCCUGUAUUAUCUUUUAUUCUCGCUGCAAAAUAUUUGAAUUUGUUUUAGUAUUAUAAAGAUUAAAAUUAAAAUUAAGAUUGUAUAAAGUUAUGCUUUACCUGUGGUCAUGAUCGCGGACUUAAUAGCAGCUGGACUCCAAUCAGGAUGAAGAGAUUUGAUUAUACCAACAAUGCCAGAAACAUGAGGGGUUGACAUUGAAGUUCCCGACAAAGUAAUGAAAGGAGAUCUGCGUUUAUCAGAUUUUUGUUGAGAGGGAGAAGCAGCUUCACUAUAAGCAGCGACUAUGUCGACUCCCGGUCCUGUGAUGUCGGGCUGAAACAUAAAACCAAAAUUACUUGACACAAUCACUACGAAGUCAUUUAGAUAUCUUUGAUAAACUAAUUCAAAGAAAUAAUAAACCUUGAGGAUUGAUGGGUCAAUGAUAUUAGGUCCUCUUGAUGAAAAUGAAGCCAUAAUUGGAGAUGGACUUUGCCCUAAUUUUGUUUCCACUUUAGAAAUUGAAGCCUUAGGAGACCUGCAUCAUAUAUGUAUAACAUAUAAAAUAAAUUGUUCUGUAGGAAUCUUAUCCAAAUUUUAUUCUGUAUAUAUGAACUAUGAAGAAGCAUAUUAAUAAAAAAAUAAAAAAUAAAAAAUUACUUGGUGUUGUUGAGGUAACUAAAAAUGUAGCUUCCAUCAUCAUAGCCAAGGUGUGAAGCAGGAAGCACAUGAGGAUCAGAAAGAACAUCAUUCCCUGAUUCAAUGUUAUUAGCCAAAAUCAUUCCAACAGCACCUGCCCUAGCAGCUUGCACACCCUUGUCAGUUCUAUCAUUGUCGCCUCGAAGACAAACAACUAUUUUUCCUUUAGCCUUUUUUGAAUCCAGAGUUCCUUUCUUGCAAAGAAGGCUACAACAGUGGAAUAGAUUGCAAUUAAGAGAUAAUUAAUAUACAAUUAACAAAACUUAAAACUCAAACAACUUAGUAGAAAAGUAAGUAAGUAUUCUUACGCAUCAUCUGAAGAUGCACGAUCAGCUUUGGCAUCAACUGCACUUAUUAAUGGGUAGAACUUAUGAGGUGGCAAGUGGGACUCUGAAAGGCUAGCUCCCUAUCAAUUAAAAGAAUGAGAAUGAUGUAAUGAUAUUUGAUUUGAUGUAUGGUUUAAGCUCGCGGGGACAAACAAAAAAAAUUAAGACAAAUGAAUAACAAUGACCAAAAACAGACAAUAAUAUAAUCUCGCAAGGACUUCAAAAUUUUAUAUAUUCCUUGUGACCAAAAACAUAUUUAAAUCAUUAUCUAGUAAAGAAAGUUUUCUUAAUAAUAUACCUUGAGUAUUUUCUUGUUACCAAGAGUAACAUAACUAGUGAAUUCUCUAUCCGUUGUACUUGCAGCAACUGUGAUCGACCACGGUUCCAAGUUGGAUGCAGUUUUGGGUUUAGGUCCUGUAUUUCCAGCAGAACUAACUACAACAAUGCCAUUAGCAACUGCAUGGAAAGACCCUAUAGCAAUACUGCUUUCAUAAAAUUCUACGGGAUCACCACCCACAGACGCCGAAAUCACAUCAACACCGUCAAGUAUGGCAGCUUCGAAACCAGCCAAAAUGUCUGCUUCAUAGCAUCCACCGCCCACAGCAAGCGGUGGCCAACAUACCUUAUAGGCCGCAACUCGUGCGUUAGGUGAUCCACCACUUGCUGUUCCUAGGCCAUUGCCAAAUACACUUGCAU
rnacentral:lncRNA from 1 species